rnacentral:rRNA from 1 species
AUUGAACGCUGGCGGCAUGCUUUACACAUGCAAGUCGAACGGCAGCGCAGGCUGCGGUCUGGCUGCGAGUGGCGGACGGGCGGGUAAUGCAGCAGAACAUCCCCAUCUAUUUUGUCUAGGCCGGCGAAGGCCGGAUUAAUACCGCAAUACACCAGACGAUGAACGCGGGGGAGCAAAAGGCCUUCCGCUAUUGGGCGGGCGGAUGUCGGAUUAGCUAGUUGGCGGGGUAAAGGCUUACCAAGGCGACGAUCCGUAGCUGGUCUGAGAGGACGACCAGCCACACUGGAACUGAGACACGGCCCAGACUCCUACGGGAGGCAGCAGUGGGGAAUUUUGGACAAUGGGGGCAAGCCUGAUCCAGCCAUGCCGCGUGCGGGAAGAAGGCCUUCGGGUUGUAAAGCGCUUUUGUUGGGGAAGAAAAGCUGUAGGCUAAUACCCCGCGGGGAUGACGGUACCGGAAGAAUAAGCACCGGCUAACUACGUG